rnacentral:lncRNA from 1 species
GUUGUGAAUUCGUCUAUAAAAUCACACCAAUAAAAGAACUUGAUGUGUGGAGCAAUAGAACGGCAACCAAUGAUUAAGCGGAAUAAGCAAUAAUAAUAAUAACCGAUAAACGGGAUAAAGGAGAAGAAAGAACACAAUAUUUGUUUACCCAGUUCGGUCCAAUAAUGACCUAGUCUGGGGGAGAGAGCAGCCCCUCCGUUCCACUAUAUCAAACAAGUAACUUUACAAAGA